CGCACGAGCGCACCCCUAUCCUUAGUUGCUAGCAGGUAAUGCUGUAGAACUCUAAGGAAGACUGCCGGUGAUAAACCGGAGGAAGGUGGGGACGACGCUCAAGUCAUCAUGGCCCUUACGUGUAGGGCUACACACGUGCUACAAUGGCGCAUACAGAGUGCUGCGAACCUGCGAAGGUAANCGAAUCACUUAAAGUGCGUCGUAGUCCGGAUUGGAGUCUGCAACUCGACUCCAUGAAGUCGGAAUCGCUAGUAAUCGCGUAUCAGAAUGACGCGGUGAAUACGUUCCCGGGCCUUGUACACACCGCCCGUCACACCAUGGGAGUGGGUUGCUCCAGAAGUAGAUAGUCUAACCCUCGGGAGGACGUUUACCACGGAGUGAUUCAUGACUGGGGUGAAGUCGUAACAAGGUAGCCCUAGGGGAACCUGGGGCUGGAUCACCUCCUU
rnacentral:rRNA from 1 species